AGUCCUAGAUCCUUUAGCAUUCUCUUCUAAUAGAAAGCCGUUUCGUUGUUCUUAAAUUUGUGAUGCGAAUUGUGCAUGGUGACUAUAGUGCAUGAAUAAUUGUCGUCCAUCUAAUGUACCUACUAUUAUAUAGUUGUGAGCUGCAUACUACUAUUAGACAUACUAUAUUUGUCAUAGGCUAGCUACCUAUAAUUGUUAUCACCACUCACCAGGGAUCUACUGGGCUAGUGCUGAGGGAACCAUAAUGAAAGGACAGUCCUGCGUAGAUUCGGUUUGAGAGCUACAGCCUCAUCUUUCUCGCCUCGAGUAUCGGUCACGAAGGAUGAAGUAAAGGAUAAUACAGCACGAACAUUGAUACCGUGAAGAUAAACCAUCGCAGCUCGAGAGCGUCUAUUGCCCGAGUUCCCAAGGAAACUUUACAUAGCCAAGUUCGAUGUAGUUAGUUAUAGAAUUUGCCGGCCAAAUCUGGUGUGUGGGGAGGAGUUUCCUCAUCCCACAGGUAUAAGCCUUACUAAUUCUUUGUUUGGAUGACUGCCAUCGUUGGGUGAGAAGUAAUAACUUGGUCACUGAUGGUUUUGCCAAAAUCUGCAUAAGGUGAUGUCAGUGAUCCACAUGCUUGUGAUCAACAGAGUACUCCAUGAUUGCCUGCAACCUUAUCAUCAAUUAAAUCCUUUGUGGCUGUGGAGGGUAGGCCACA